rnacentral:rRNA from 1 species
UAAUGGGUCAGCGACUUAUAUUCUGUAGCAAGGUUAACCGUAUAGGGGAGCCGAAGGGAAACCGAGUCUUAACUGGGCGUUAAGUUGCAGGGUAUAGACCCGAAACCCGGUGAUCUAGCCAUGGGCAGGUUGAAGGUUGGGUAACACUAACUGGAGGACCGAACCGACUAAUGUUGAAAAAUUAGCGGAUGACCUGUGGCUGGGGGUGAAAGGCCAAUCAAACCGGGAGAUAGCUGGUUCUCCCCGAAAGCUAUUUAGGUAGCGCCUCGUGAACUCAUCUUCGGGGGUAGAGCACUGUUUCGGCUAGGGGGCCAUCCCGGCUUACCAACCCGAUGCAAACUACGAAUACCGAAGAAUGUUAUCACGGGAGACACACGGCGGGUGCUAACGUCCGUCGUGAAGAGGGAAACAACCCAGACCGCCAGCUAAGGUCCCAAAGUCAUGGUUAAGUGGGAAACGAUGUGGGAAGGCACAGACAGCCAGGAUGUUGGCUUAGAAGCAGCCAUCAUUUAAAGAAAGCGUAAUAGCUCACUGGUCGAGUCGGCCUGCGCGGAAGAUGUAACGGGGCUAAACC